rnacentral:misc_RNA from 1 species
GAUGAAGAACGUAGCGAAAUGCGAUAAGUAGUGUGAAUUGCAGAAUUCAGUAAAUCAUCGAAUCUUUGAACGCACAUUGCGCCCCUUGGUAUCCCGAGGGGCAUGCCUGUUCGAGCGUCAUUUCACCACUCAAGCCUGGCUUGGUGUUGGGCGACGUCCCCUUUGGGGACGCGCCUCGAAACGCUCGGCGGCGUGGCACCGGCUUUAAGCGUAGCAGAAUCUUUCGCUUUGGAAGUCGGGGCCCCGUCUGCCGGAAGACCUACUCGCAAGGUUGACCUCGGAUCAGGCAGGGAUACCCGCUGAACUUAAGCAUAUCAAUAAGCGGAGGA